UACGUAGGGGGCGAGCGUUGUCCGGAAUCAUUGGGCGUAAAGCGCGUGUAGGCGGCCCGGUAAGUCCGCUCUGAAAGUCCAGGGCUCAACCCUGGAAUGCGGGUGGAUACUGCCGGGCUAGAAUCCGGAAGAGGCGAGUGGAAUUCCUGGUGUAGCGGUGGAAUGCGCAGAUAUCAGGAGGAACACCAAUAGCGAAGGCAGCUCGCUGGGACGGUAUUGACGCUAAGGCGCGAAAGCGUGGGGAGCAAACAGG
rnacentral:rRNA from 1 species